AACAAACGCUGGCGGCGUGCCUAACACAUGCAAGUCGUACGAGAAAGUCGGCUUCGGCCGAUGAGUACAGUGGCGCACGGGUGAGUAGCGCGUGGGUAAUCUGCCCCCCGGUCAGGAAUAACCCGCCGAAAGGCGGGCUAAUACCCGAUAACACUGACGCUCCGCGGAGCGUCUUUCAAAGAAGGCCUCUGUUUACAAGCUUUCGCCGGAGGAUGAGCCCGCGUACCAUUAGCUAGUUGGCAGGGUAAUGGCCUACCAAGGCUACGAUGGUUAGCUGGUCUGAGAGGAUGGCCAGCCACACUGGAACUGAGACACGGUCCAGACUCCUACGGGAGGCAGCAGUGAGGAAUCUUGCGCAAUGGGGGAAACCCUGACGCAGCGACGCCGCGUGAGGGAAGAAGGUUCUCGGAUUGUAAACCUCUGUUCUUGGUGAAGAGAAGAAGACGGUAGCCAAGGAGGAAGCCCCGGGCUAACUACGUG
rnacentral:rRNA from 1 species